rnacentral:lncRNA from 1 species
UAUGUUUUACAGAUCCUCAAAACAAGCUUAGACUUUGUUUGUUAUGCAAGAUCUCUUCAUGUGUCAUAAUGAUACAAACACGAGGUACAUAAUUUAGGCAUUUACAAUUAUAAUUAAGUGAUAAUUUGGCAGAACAACAUGGUGUGGUGUUUAUUCGAGAAGGAUGCACUAUUUUGUCAAGUGUGGUGUUUAUUCGAGAAGGCAACAAAGAGGUAUGGCAGGACUGCUUUGUUGCACAUGUUCGAAAGUUGUGUCUUACCUGCUUUAAAUAUAGUAGUUGAGACUUCUGGGGGCAUGCCGUUUCAUCUCGAGCUUUCUUAACUAAUAGAGAAAUGAAAUAACUUAUCAAAGCCUUUUUGUACGGUUUUUCUUUUCACUUCCAAAACAUUUUCGCAAAUUGGAACUUCAUAGCCAGUUUCCAAAUUCAAAGAAAUCACCUACCAUGGCCUUGUUCCUUUUCUUAAACUUCUCAUUCUGCAUCUUAAACAGCCAAACUCCCAGCCAUUUCAAUGUCAAGCUCGCUGAGCAACUUAAAAUCACAAUUCAUAGCAAAUAUAUGAACAACUAACUAUGCUUUAUAUUUUUGAUAGGUGUUCUAGAACUAGAAGCAUUUCCUUAGUUCAAACCUUGUAUCACGAAUUUACAUGCUACCCUCUUUUGAUGUACUUCAACAAGAAAAAAAGGGCAACCUGGUGCAUGUAGCUCCCGCUUGCGCAGGGUCCAGGGAAGGGUCCGACCACUUUGGGUCUAUAGUACGCAGCCUUUCCCUACAUUUCUGUAAGAGGCUGUUUCCAGGACUUGAACCCAUGACCUCAUGGUCACAAGGCAGCAGCUUUACCACUGCGCCAAGGCUCCCCUUCGAUGUACUUCAACAAGCUUAUCAACAAAUAUAUACCAGAUGCUACAUUGGCAUGUUAUUAUUUUGUUAGUGUAGUCACAUGAACUUCAUAUGAUUUAGCUGCAUUGUCAUAUAUUUAUUCACAAGAUCUGCUCGUCUAUAUCUGUCAAGACUGGAAACCUUGAGACGGUGAUCAAACAUUUGGUUGAAGGAAUCAGCAAACAGAUGUUUUCGAGGUACACCUAUGAUCUAUGUGUCAACUCUCAAAUGUCUAGUACUGCAAAACUGUUGUAUGGCCAUGAUGGUGCUUUAUUUAUUUUUCUGUCUUUUGUGUAUACAGACCAAUACUUCGUUCUUAUUUUCAGUUACUUGCAAUCUUGCAUGUUAUUGCUGGCAUGAGUUUUGUAUGUCCAUGACUGUUGUGAUACUGUUAAUAUGAUGCAGAUUUGUGUUCUUGUGUAUGCUGCAAUAUUUUUGAUAUUUUAGAGAAGUGCUAAAUUUGUGACCAUUAUUUUGAGCAUCAUGUUGUGAGCUCUGAUGUUCCUCUCAAGACUUGGAUCGGCAACCUGAUGCAAGUGCUCAAGGGAUAUCUGGAGCAUGUACUUCUCAAGGCGAUGUGAUGCAUGUGUAGUUAAUUACCAUGUUGAUUGGAAGUGUUUCGAUCUAGCAACAGUAGCUGAUAUGUGGCCUUGUCUAUAGCAGGUUGUAGAUUAAACUUGCAGUGUAUAGACCAUUUUGCAACUUAAGCUAGCUUUUUUGGAUCGAUGGGUGGUAUGAAUAUGUUGUAUGAUGAUGAAUAUUCGGUCAUCUAUGAAUUAUUUGAAUUAUGGCUGAUAUAUAUAUAUCCAAAUUUGGUGUAUUGUUGCUU